rnacentral:rRNA from 1 species
GAAUUCGCCCUUAGAGUUUGAUCCUGGCUCAGGACGAACGCUGGCGGCACGCCUAACACAUGCAAGUCGAACGGAGAUAAAGACUUCGGUUUUUAUCUUAGUGGCGGACGGGUGAGUAACACGUGAGCAACCUGCCUCUGAGAGAGGGAUAGCUUCUGGAAACGGAUGGUAAUACCUCAUAAUAUAGCGGUACCGCAUGAUACUGCUAUCAAAGAUUUAUCGCUCAGAGAUGGGCUCGCGUCUGAUUAGCUAGAUGGUGAGGUAACGGCUCACCAUGGCGACGAUCAGUAGCCGGACUGAGAGGUUGAACGGCCACAUUGGGACUGAGACACGGCCCAGACUCCUACGGGAGGCAGCAGUGGGGAAUAUUGCACAAUGGGCGCAAGCCUGAUGCAGCGAUGCCGCGUGGAGGAAGAAGGUUUUCGGAUUGUAAACUCCUGUCUUAAGGGACGAUAAUGACGGUACCUUAGGAGGAAGCUCCGGCUAACUACGUGCCAGCAGCCGCGGUAAUGCGUAGGGAGCGAGCGUUGUCCGGAAUUACUGGGUGUAAAGGGAGCGUAGGCGGGAUUGCAAGUCAGACGUGAAAUGUAUGGGCUUAACCCAUAGACUGCAUUUGAAACUGUAGUUCUUGAGUGAAGUAGAGGUAAGCGGAAUUCCUAGUGUAGCGGUGAAAUGCGUAGAUAUUAGGAGGAACAUCGGUGGCGAAGGCGGCUUACUGGGCUUUUACUGACGUCGAGGCUCGAAAGCGUGGGGAGCAAACAGGAUUAGAUACCCUAGUAGUCCACGCCGUAAACGGUGGAUGCUGGAUGUGGGGCCCGUUCCACGGGUUCCGUGUCGGAGCUAACGCGUUAAGCAUCCCGCCUGGGGAGUACGGCCGCAAGGCUAAAACUCAAAGAAAUUGACGGGGGCCCGCACAAGCGGCGGAGCAUGCGGAUUAAUUCGAUGCAACGCGAAGAACCUUACCUGGGCUUGACAUGUUCCCGACAGCCGUAGAGAUGCGGCCUCCCUUCGGGGCGGGUUCACAGGUGGUGCAUGGUCGUCGUCAGCACGUGUCGUGAGAUGUAGGGUUAAGUCCCGCAACGAGCGCAACCCUCGCCCUGUGUUGCCAGCACGUCAUGGUGGGAACUCACGGGGGACCGCCGGGGUCAACUCGGAGGAAGGUGGGGAUGACGUCAGAUCAUCAUGCCCCUUACGUCCAGGGCUUCACGCAUGCUACAAUGGCCGGUACAACGGGAUGCGACAUGGCGACAUGGAGCGGAUCCCUGAAAACCGGUCUCAGUUCGGAUUGGAGUCUGCAACCCGACUCCAUGAAGGCGGAGUCGCUAGUAAUCGCGGAUCAGCAACGCCGCGGUGAAUGCGUUCCCGGGCCUUGCACACACCGCCCGUCA